UACGGAGGAUCCAAGCGUUAUCCGGAUUCAUUGGGUUUAAAGGGUGCGUAGGCGGAACGAUAAGUCAGUGGUGAAAGCCCUCAGCUUAACUGAGGAACUGCCAUUGAUACUGUCGAUCUUGAGUACAUUUGAUGUGGGCGGAAUGUGUCAUGUAGCGGUGAAAUGCUUAGAUAUGACGCAGAACACCGAUUGCGAAGGCAGCUCACAAAACUGUAACUGACGCUGAGGCGCGAAAGCGUGGGUAUCAAACAGG
rnacentral:rRNA from 1 species